CCUACGGGUGGCAGCAGUGAGGAAUAUUGGUCAAUGGACGAGAGCCUGAACCAGCCAAGUCGCGUGAAGGAAGACUGUACUAUGUGUUGUAAACCUCUUUUAUCAGGGAAUAAAGUGGUCCACGUGUGGCCUUAAGUGGGUACCUUAUGAAUAAGCAUCGGCUAACUCCGUGCCAGCAGCCGCGGUAAUACGGAGGAUGCGAGCGUUAUCCGGAUUUAUUGGGUUUAAAGGGGGCGCAGGGGGUGUGUAAAGUCAGCGGUAAAAUGUGGGGGCUCAACCGCGGAGUGCAGUUGAAACUGGCGUGCUUGAGUAGGGUAGAAGUAUGCGGAAGUCGUGGUGUAGCGGUGAAAUGCAUAGAUAUCACGAAGAACCCCGAUUGCGAAGGCAGCACACCGG
rnacentral:rRNA from 1 species